GAUCAUGGCUCAGGAUGAACGCUAGCGACAGGCUUAACACAUGCAAGUCGAGGGGCAUCAUGAGGUAGCAAUACCUUGAUGGCGACCGGCGCACGGGUGAGUAACGCGUAUGCAACCUGCCUGAUACCGGGGUAUAGCCCAUGGAAAUGUGGAUUAACACCCCAUAGUACUUUUAUCCUGCAUGGGAUGUGAGUUAAAUGUUCAAGGUAUCGGAUGGGCAUGCG
rnacentral:rRNA from 1 species